CAAUAGCGUAUAUUUAAGUUGCUGCAGUUAAAAAGCUCGUAGUUGGAUUUCGGGUGGGAAUGGCCGGUCCGCCGUUUCGGUGUGCACUUGCUACGCCCACCUUGCUGCCGGGGACGUGCUCUUGAGUUCACGCUCGGGACACGGAGUCGGCGAGGUUACUUUGAGUAAAUUAGAGUGUUCAAAGCAGGCCUACGCUCUGAAUACAUUAGCAUGGAAUAACACGAUAGGACUCUGGCCUAUCUUGUUGGUCUGUAGGACCGGAGUAAUGAUUAAGAGGGACAGUCGGGGGCAUUCGUAUUUCAUUGUCAGAGGUGAAAUUCUUGGAUUUAUGAAAGACGAACUACUGCGAAAGCAUUUGCCAAGGAUGUUUUCAUGAA
rnacentral:rRNA from 1 species